rnacentral:misc_RNA from 1 species
AAAUUAUCAACCAUGACUUGGGUUUAGGCCCUUGUUCUUGGCUUGGAUUUGGGUGCUUGCGGUCUUGUGCUGCUCACCUUAAAAGGAUUAGCUGGACAUGUCUUUUGACUUGGUUCUACUUGGCGUAAUAAGUAUUUCGCUGAGGACAUCCCUUCUGGGGUGGCCAAGACUCUGGCAAACGUCUGCUUUCUAACUCGACUGUCCUCGGACAUCACUUUUUAUG